AAAAAAAAUGGUGAGCUUGGUUUGCUGCAAUCUUAUUCAUGUUUGGCUAGUGGAUUUGGACUAGGUAUACUUGCAGUAUUUCUUCAUGAUGCAUGGCAAUAAGGAUUCAAAAUAAGACCAUUGUAAUAUAGUAGUGGAAACAGGGUCUGCUGAUGUUUUUGUUCAGUAGGUUCGACCCUGCUCAACUUGCCUCUGCAACUUGAUUUUGCAACAUGAUACUUGCUCCAGGAUCAAAUUUCUACCGGCUAGUUCCAAUGUCCAUUUCUUUGCUUUAUGGGUAUCGCGGUUCAUGGUUGUUGCAUUGCUUUGGUGGUACAAGUUUGUUCAAAUGGAAUUGCUUCAAAUCAUUUGCUCUAAGUUCAGUCAUCACGCCAUGACCUUAUGGAAUUCAAGUUUUGAUUUGGCAG